AGCCAGUUCCAGAAAGCAGGGGAACGGUGGCCAAAAACAAUCUCGGAGAGCAACAGUGGUAUAGUCAGCACCUUAGGAGGUGAAUCUUGGUCCAAAGGCAAGCACAGCAGGUGACUUCAUGUUCCUUGGAGGGUCCAUUCAGCUUUGGCAAGGGCACAGCUAAUAGACUCUCCGGUGUCAUGGGACGCCCUUGACCCAUUCCGUCAACACCAUUCUGUAGAGGAUUAUGGAAGACAGCCAGGAGACAGAUGUCACGUUUUACCCUUUGUUCAUGCAAUUUCCUUUGCCCUCUUUUAUCGUGAGUGCUGAUGACAAGAUGUGUUAUUGCGUGUUGAAUAACCAGGGCUGUAGCUACUUGGCGAGAUAAUGAAAAAUAAAACAAACAGCAGCUA